CAGAAAAUAGUUUAAUAAAAAUAAUAAUUUUGGAGAUUAUUGAUAAGAGUUUAAAUACUUUUUUCUGA
rnacentral:tRNA from 1 species